AGAACGAACGCUGGCGGCAGGCUUAACACAUGCAAGUCGAACGCCCCGCAAGGGGAGUGGCAGACGGGUGAGUAACACGUGGGAACGUCCCCCUCGGUUCGGAAUAACUCAGGGAAACUUGAGCUAAUACCGGAUACGUCCGAGAGGAGAAAGAUUUAUCGCCGAGGGAUCGGCCCGCGUCUGAUUAGCUAGUUGGUGAGGUAACGGCUCACCAAGGCGACGAUCAGUAGCUGGUCUGAGAGGAUGACCAGCCACACUGGGACUGAGACACGGCCCAGACUCCUACGGGAGGCAGCAGUGGGGAAUCUUGGACAAUGGGCGCAAGCCUGAUCCAGCCAUGCCGCGUGAGUGAUGAAGGCCUUAGGGUUGUAAAGCUCUUUCGACGGGGACGAUAAUGACGGUACCGUAGAAGAGCCCGGCUAACUUCGUGCCAGCAGCCGC
rnacentral:rRNA from 1 species